GACUUGGGCACUUACAUGUUAAUUUCCUUUUUUUUCUUUUUAAAAUUUAUAUAAAGGUCGUCGAGCCAAUAAAGCCGACUUUUGCUGACCGACACCGCCGGAUUGCUUUAAAAAAGCAACGCUUUCUUCACGUGGAAAUUGACCCCAAGCUCCCCAGAAACAUUCCCGUUGUGCACUUUUCCGGCCCCGAAGCAGAAGUCGUGCAGUUACGGCAAAAGUUUUUUGAAAAUGCCUACGCUUGGCGUGGCGAGGAAAGUCUAUACAAUAACCUUCAGCAAGUAUUGCAGGAGGAGUUACCUUUAAAAUCUUGCGAAAAGGAAGUAAAUCUUAGCAAGGACUGCGGAAUUUGCUACUCAUUCUACCUGGAGAAUGCCGUCCCCGACAAAGUGAGAAAAGCAUAACGUGCUAGUCAGCACCUUGGAAUAAUGCGGUGACUGGCAGAUUUGUGAGUACGCGGGAUGUCGCCAAGCAUUUCACCCACAAUGUCUCUUGGAGUGGUUAAAGACUUCUUCAACGACGCAACGGCGAUUUCAUAUGUUUUUUGGAACGUGUCCUUACUGCGAAAAGCAAAUAAGUCUCAAGAUGUUUUAAAAAGGGAUUGAAUACUCCUAAAAUUCGCCUAAAAAAGGCUAAUAAUACUUUUGGUUGCCCUAAUAACCGUGUUUUAUUUAAGUACUAUGUGGAAUUGUCAGGUCGAAAAGGGACUGCUACUUGAGC